CAACUGACAACACUUGGGCAGCCUCCUCUCCGCUGGGGUCCUGCGGGAGGCCCUGGCCAGUCCGGGCUUUGGAAUACACCCUCUGCAUCCGCCAGGUGGUUCUCAAGGCUCGCUCCCCAGACCCGCAGAACCAGCAGCACCUGGGAACUUACCAGAAAUGCCAAUACUCGGGCCCCGCCCCCAGACCCGAAAAUCAGCAACUCCGAGGGCGGGACCCAGCGACGAGAGGGGGUAUAAUAAGCCUGCCAGGUGAUUCCGUUGCCUGCUCCGGUUGAUUGAGGGCCACUGCUGUGCCGGGAGCCGCUUUCAAGGACCUGGGCUCCUUCCGGCUCCUCCCGCAGGAGCCUGGAGGUUGGGACCAGGAUGCCUGUCUCCAUCAACACUGUGGUCCUUAACUAACGAGCGAGUGUCAGGAGUGAACACACAGAUGGGAAGAUUCAGCCGCGUCAACAAAUAGCAAGGUCUGUGGAGAAGCCAGCUGCCAUGUCAUGAGGACACUCAAGCGACCCUGGUGGAGAAGUCUACACGGGGAACAAAGUCCUCCCCCACCAAUAACCAUGUGAGGAAAUCGUGACUCCGAGAGGUCAACGCUCCGGGAUGUCCUAGCAAAGCCACCGGCAAAGGCAGAGGGACGGUUUCAUCUUCCCGGCUGGCAACGCGGCUCGUUCAACUCCCGUCCCCCUC